GUGUCAUUAGCUUGUUUCCGGUGCACAAUUCAUAUAAACGGUUUACUGAGGUUAGUUUAGUUCCUGCUUUUAGAUAGUAACUAUUUGUUAGCCCAACGACCUUUGUCCGGUAGAGCAGCAGUCCCAGACAGGAUCUGGUAACUGAUCAGAGUUUUGCUGUGUUCCUCUUGACUUCCACUUCUGUGCCCCGCUGGCCAUAUUUUCUUCAUCUCCAAAGAUGGUCUCUUCCUAGUAUGUCCCUCCAGUUAGCAGCUCUGAAAACUGGCCCAAUGCACUGCUUUCUCCUGAGCAACUCCAAUCAUCUAAAUGACUUCAGCAACUAAGUGGUUCUGUUCUACGUCAUCAGCUGGGACUGCUGGGACUGCUCUUCAUUUCAAACAGCAACACUCCUUCCAUGUCUGAGAGCUCAAGUUGAAGGCUGAACAGUGAUUUCUGCACUGCUCAUUUUCUUUCAGAAAGCGUGUACUGCUUCCUGUGUUUCUAUUUCUGUUUCCAAACCACCAAGAAAGGGAAAAAAAGCAGCGGAACAGAGACUCAAACACACGUGAAGUACCAAGCUGGACAACUCAGCAUGAUACUAGAAAUACCUAGAUGUGAGGUUUGGCAUUUAUGGGAUAUUAACAUUAAGUGCUUCAGAAGAUAAACAAGAGAAUUAAACAACAGAUAGCACAGCCAGCUAUGUACAUCAGGGCCACCUCUUAGGAACCGAUCCCUUCAAGAUAUUUGUGCCUAUAGAAGGAAAUGCAAAUGAAGCAAACAAGAAGAUAAUUGAAACCCUUCCUGAGUUACAGCUAUGUUUCCUGCUGGAGAGACUGACAGAUCCAGCAAAGAACAGAGGACACUGAAAAUGUGAACGAACAUGUUGCUGAGUUUGCCACGUUAUUCCCUUCAUAUUUUUUACAUAUACAACAUUUUCCUGGUUGGGACUACAGGUACAAAAUCUUAAAAGGCAAAUCACAAGAGAUACUUGAAAACCAGAAAAGAGCAGAAAUAUUUUUAUGUAUCUGUAGUUAAUGAACAUGCCAAACCCAUCGCUCUACCAAACAGCAUGCCAGCCUGGCUGCUGAGGGACAUGAGAAAUGCAGAUCCCACGGUCAUUCACCACCUGGUUUCUCUGCCAAGAGUUUCUAUGGCCACCUGUCAGUUGUGGAGGGGAUCUUGUCUGUUCUAGAAACAGCUGCCCAGGAUGCACAGUGCUGAGAUCCUUUACAGUAGAACAUUCAUCUUCUACUAUAUCUGCAAUAAGCCUUAUCCCAUGGAUGACUUUGGUAUAACAUGAAGCCCACCUGCAACACACAGUAACUACUGAAAGCUAGUAUAGUUGUAGGGCAUAAUGCAGUUUUUGCCUGACACAAUGGGAGUAAACAGACACUCAGGGUUGGUGCUGACAGCAACUAGAGAUAGCUGGAGAAUUUUUCUUCCUUCACUGGAAAUGGAAAUGUAUCAAUUUCUCCCAGAAAAAAAAAAUCAGCUGAAAUAAAAAUUUUAUCAGAGGAAAGUUUCCAUUGUAUGGCCUUGCAUGUUUGAAUGCAUCUCUUGCAUGAUCUGACAUCUAAAUUUCUCAAAGGAUUUGAUGUGGGAACCUCAGAUACAAUCUUGGGUUUUAUCAAGCCUGAAAAACCUACAUUGGACAUUUCAGAUUAGAGUUAUCUAUCAAAUUCAUAACCAGGAUAUUCUAACUACAAGUAAACUACAGAUUUCCCAAAGAUUACAAGAGACAAGGAAAAAAAAUCACACUGUAUUUUUACAUGAUGGUAGAAGUGCACUGAAGUACUGUUUCCCACUUUCAUAUUGAAAAGGAAAGGUCAUUUUAGCAUCAAAUUACUUCUGUCUUACACUUGAGUUACAUUUAAAUAUACAUUUCAUAAAUGAAGUAUCAUUGCUCAAGUCUUUAAGCUGUAUUGAGUUCACGGCACAAAAAGCCCAGACCUUAUGGUGUCUGUUUUAUCAUACAGAAGUCUACAUAAAAGAAAAUUAGGAAAAAAAAAGAACGUUGUGAAAUUACUCGAAUUAUUACUUUUUUAAUAAUAAAGUUUGCUCUCUAAUAUGAACCAGGAAGUGAAGAGUUGUAGCUCUCACAGUCUCAGACUAAACAUCGGGUCGUGGUUCUUUUUGGCUUCUGUUUAAAAAGGCUAAUUGAUUUGGAAGAGAAAGAC
ensembl:lncRNA